GAUGAACGCUGGCGGCGUGCCUAAUACAUGCAAGUCGAGCGAACAGACGAGGAGCUUGCUCCUCUGACGUUAGCGGCGGACGGGUGAGUAACACGUGGAUAACCUACCUAUAAGACUGGAAUAACUUCGGGAAACCGGAGCUAAUACCGGAUAAUCUAUUGAACCGCAUGGUUCAAUAGUGAAAGACGGUUUUGCUGUCACUUAUAGAUGGAUCCGCGCCGCAUUAGCUAGUUGGUAAGGUAACGGCUUACCAAGGCAACGAUGCGUAGCCGACCUGAGAGGGUGAUCGGCCACACUGGAACUGAGACACGGUCCAGACUCCUACGGGAGGCAGCAGUAGGGAAUCUUCCGCAAUGGGCGAAAGCUUGACGGAGCAACGCCGCGUGAGUGAUGAAGGUCUUCGGAUCGUAAAACUCUGUUAUUAGGGAAGAACAAAUGUGUAAGUAACUAUGCACGUCUUGACGGUACCUAAUCAGAAAGCCACGGCUAACUACGUG
rnacentral:rRNA from 1 species